rnacentral:tRNA from 1 species
GGGCGGUUAACUCAGUGGGAGAGUGCUACCUUCACACGGUAGAAGUCACUGGUUCAAAUCCAGUACCGCCCACCA